rnacentral:tRNA from 1 species
ACUUGGCUGGCUCAUUUGGUAGAGCAUGUGACUCUUGAUCUUGCGGUUGUGAGUUUGAGUCCCACAUUGAGUG